AAUAAUAUUAAUUCUGCCUCUCCAAGAGCAAGGUAGAUCUUUCCAUCUUCUAAGUUCAGUAGUUGUUUUUAAUGGUAAGAAACUUACAGGACCAAACUAAAAAAAAAAUUAAAGACCAGUACCUACUGAAGUUAUAAAGGGUACACACUUUGAAUACUCUGGAAAAUCAACACAUUCAGGAUUAAACAAUACCUCCAUGGCUUAUCAGCUGUUUAUAAUUUCAAUUUUUCCCUUUGAUUGUUCAUGAUCACUGUUUAUUUAUCACUAUUUUAUCUCUCAUGUUUGUUUUUAAAAUGUGACUUAGAUCUUCAAUAUUAAAAUUGACAAUACUUUUGAAGACUUUAAUUUUCCAUAUUUCUAUUAGAUUACACAAGGACAUGAAAUUCAUUUCUCGUUUGCUUACAUAGCAUGUGGCUUCAUUUACCCUUGUUUAAAUUUAUUUUAAGUAAUACAAACUCCAUCUCCAAUGUCACACAAUCUUAAUUGUCAAUUUUAAGGUUUGUUGCCAUCCGAACUGAAUUAAGUGACUGUUAGGGUCAAAAGGAAGACAUAGUUCUGGCACAGUAAACAAGCUUGGAAAGAGAAAGGGAAAGUAUGUUUAUUACAGUGUAACUAAGUUAUAGUAAUAAGAUUUGUCCUAUAUUAAGCCCGGGUGAGUUAAAAUACCUUCUCAGAGUCAAGUGGUCACUCAUGGGAAAUAAAUUAAUUCUCCUGAGACCCUGGAGCAUGAAUUAGUGAUCUGGAAGAGGGAAUUAAUCUCAAAUGGAUGAGCACUUGGCUUUGAAAUUGCUCUCUAUUUAUAGUUCUCUUAGAAUCAAAUUUAGAUCGAACCCACAGCAUAGUUUUAUGCAGAUAAACCAAACUCCACAUUGAUUCAAAACAAUAAUGUCUCCAAGUGGUAAAAAUAAUUUUAGCCUAUUGAAAAAAAAACUUUUGUGUGUAUGUGUGUGUGACAAUGAACACACCAAGUCCCCCCCAGAAAAUUAGAGGUGAGGCUGAAAAGUGAAGAAGCAGCAAGUAUUAUUUAUUGCUUUCAAAACUAUUGAUCCACUUCUGAAAUUAAUCCUAUUUUUCGUUUUUAAACUUUUAUUUUCACAGGCAACUUAAAGAUUCGUAAAAGCCUAAUUAGAUAGUUAAUUUUCUCACAUUGUAUUAUGAAGGAUAACUGAAAAAAAGAUUAACUCCAUAAAUUACAUCCCUUGUCUUUCAGAUCAUAGUGCCUCAUGAAAACCAUUGAUCAAGCUUCUCACUUGAGGAAACAGCUUUUGGAUAUUUUAUUGGAGGAAGACACUGCUGAUUAUAGGGAUAUUAUUUAAACAUGAUUUAAACUGAUUUUGAUAAAUUAUUUUUUAGGUUCCUGGAAGGCAUAAGUAAUAAGACUCCUUAGUAAAGUGUUUAUGUGGUAGGUGGCUCAGAGUGUGUGCUGCUGCUUUGGAAUCUAAAAGUUCAAGAAGGCUUUGAAGCUUGAUUUUACAGAAAGAACACUAUUCUUAGACUAAUUACUGGAAUUUGGAUAAAAUUAAAAUUCUGCGCUGGAGGUGUAGCUCAGUGGUGGAGCACUUGCCUGGCAUAUGAAUAAAAACUAGGCCCAGCACACUCAGAAUAUCCUCCAAAUGACUCAUAAAUAAUGUGGAAAUCAACAUGGGUUGGUGAAUAUCAGAGUAUUGUAAAUGGCUUAACCUGAAUUUUGACAUUUGUAUAGUAAUCAUAUAAAUGAAUUAGAAAGAAACAUACUAAAAGAAGUUUUAGUAGGAAUAAAUGGAAGUGUUUGCCCUCAAUUAAAAAGAAUAUAGACAUUCAUGUGCAUAAAUUUAAAUGUGCAAAUAUCCAGAGGUUUGUUUUAUUCCUGAUCUUAUUCUACCAUAUUACUUAUUACAAAUUAUUUAUUAUUUUUAUAAUACCAAGAAUAUCAGGAGUUUUUUUUAACUGCUAUAAUUUUGCCCAUCUUAGUACCAAACUAGAAAUAUAAAAUUUGAAGGCAGCAGCCCUGUUAUUUUAAAUUAGGUAUUCCUUUUGCUGUUAAACAUUCUUUAAUGUGGAGUACCUGUUUUCAGAAUAAUGUGUUUAAAUGCAUAAAAUAUAUGUGAUUAUUUUAAUUUUUUUAAAUACAUUUAUCAAAAUAUUUUUAAAAUUUGUGACAUGUGUUUUUAUUAAUGCUUUAAACCAAAAGAUCAGCAGCAGUCUAAUAGCUACUAUAGUUUUGAAUUAAUGAUGAGGAUAAAUGGUCUUCUGAGAUAUCUGUAACAUCUAAAUGUGAUAGCAAGAGAUCUGUGUUUUCCAUUGGUGACAAGUCAGAGGAACCAUUAAUAACCCUGAACUUGUUGUUUAUGUUCUUAAUGGAAAUAAAUACUAAAUUUCAGCUGAAUGUUAGUGAAAAUAAAGAUGCAGUUUUCUCCCAAACAAAUUUAUUCUACACACGGACCCUCACAUUUAGAAAACCUGUACGUAGUCUGUUUUUCUGAAAGCGUAUUAUCAGCAAUGGCUACUUUAUUGCAUGCUUUGGGGUUUCUAUUAUGGUCGUCCUUGUAAUAUUUGUAGUCUAAAGGAACUGACAAAUAAAGCUGGCAUAUACAUGGUGUUCCCAGUCACCAAACACUAACGCCUAAGGUGAUUCAGGGAUGCAGACUCCUCCUGUCUGUGGCUGCACCAGAUCCCAGGGUCUUGCUGGGGUCUACAUCCUACAGAUGGAGGGGUAAAGACAAGCUGAAGGAAGCACUGCAGCCUCUUAAAAGGCUUGGGCCUACAGGUAACACACAUCACCACCACCCAUGCACAUUUCUUUGGCAAGAAUUAGUCACAUGGUCUCAUUUGGGCACUACUUCAUAGCAACAACUCCAUAUAGUGCCACCAGCAACACAAGAUUUUGAUGGACCAUUAACUAGCUCUACCAUAGCAUAUCCUCUCUUAUUGCUUUUAUAAGAUAAAUUUGGCAAAAGUUUUCUGAAAAGUUUUCACAUUACCAAGAUGAAUCCUACUUGGUUUUUGGUGGAUGGUUGUCUUUCUAAAUUGUCAAGCUAGAGGGCGAUAUAGAGCACCUAGUGGCCUUUGCCCUGCAAAUGGAGCACCUGAGCUACAAAUCCAGCAAUCAUCUUUGAAGUGCCUUCUCUUUCACUCCUUGGAGGUGAUCUGUCAGUGCUGCUCCCUAUUUAUUUUACAUCCUAAAUACCACUUAAAUCAGGACUGCCCUGGCAACUGCCUUUCUUCAGAUCCUCAUAAAUUCUCUCCUGGGCCACUUGUAAAAUAGCCUGCUGGCGGCUCUCCACCUUCAGUGUCGUCCUCCCUCCUGAAACCAUUUCUCCACCAACAUUUGAACUUUUAAAACUUUGCACCUCUAUGAGUGAAAAAAAAUGAAUACCUUCAUGCAUGCACUCUGAUAUAUUUAUAAGCUGUGUAUGAUUACUCUCUCACUAUUUUAUAUGUCUAUCAUAAAAUGUUCAUAAAAUUAAAGCAUUUUAAAUGGAGAGAUUAAAACAUAAAUAGACAUAGAUGUUCUAAAAUGAGCUUCCUCAUCCAGUGCAUUAUUUGAUUCCUGCCUCACACUCUGGGGACUGUGGUGUGAGGGAUGCUACAAGUACUAGAGCACUCUCGCUGGAACUCCAGUCUAUCCCAUCACAGGGAGAGCUGGGAAGUGGCCUUCUGUCGGAAGGGGUGGGAGAGGAUGGGAGAAACUGCACCCACUUCAGUUUGGAGUGGAAAACCUGGAGUUUACAGGGACUUCGGAGAUGUAAUGGGGGAGGGUGGUGAAGUGACAGCCGCUGCAGGAAUCUCCGGAAAGUGCUGUGAGGGAAACCCCUGGGACGCUCCAUGACCUUCUGAGUAUAAUGGUUUUUGCUUCAUUUCAGCCUCCUCAAUAUCACCAAGCUCUUCUUGUGGAAAAAAUGCUAAUGCAUAAGGAAGGCAGUUUUGGAAAAUUCAUUUCCCAGACUCAGAAGGUACUGGAGGUUGGGGCAUCAGCAGACAAUAACCAGUCACAGACAACAUACCUGGAAGGAAGCACAGCCACUUCAGGCUGACUACUAAUAGUCUACUCAGGAUUCAGAGCCAUUUUCCCAAAAGGCACCCGAUUUCAUCUUACUUCUAAUCUUUGCAUAGCUUCCUUUAGCCUCCACUGGCUGCUGAUCCCUACAGCCUUGAACGCUUUGGUUCAUAUACUAAGUAGAAGCAUAAACAAGUGAAACACAUUCUUACAUUAAGCUUUGAUUGAACAGUGGGAGUGCUGAAAGCCUCUCCUGUUACAUAGUCCUGCAUGGUCCCGUCUUAGCAGGGAGCCUUCCAGAGCUCCACGGAACCUGUUUAGUCAAUGUUUAGGACGUCCAAAGUAAUUAAUGCAGCAUUCGAGGCCCCUCAGCACCUACCUCCUGCUCACCUUUUCAGUUUCAUCUCCUAACAGCCUUCAGGCCACCCUGCGUGCUGGUGUUCCCGAUUUAAUUACUCUUACCUCAAAGAUUUUCCGUGGCACAUCUGCUCUUCUUGCUUGGAAUGUUCCUACCUCAUCCAGGUGAUUUUUCACAAAUCAUCACUUCCUCCAGAUAAUUUUUCCUAGUCCUAACAACUCCCCUUCUAUGAGGACAGCACUUGAUCCAAAACAGGGUUCCACAAGCAUUGAUUCCAUGAACUGAGGAGGCAGGAAAAUAUGCAGUAUCUGUUAUCCCCACUCCUUGUUUCUCAAUUCUACAGGCACUUAGAAAAAAAUCUAUGCAGUAUAUAGUUUCACUUUGGGUAUUCUUUUAAUAAUGCUUUGUUUUGUGUUUCUGUGUAUAUAUAAUUCUGCCAAACUGAGUGUUUCUGAAAUUUCCCAAUGAAAGUAAGAUAUUUUGUUUUGUUAAAAAAAAAAUGGAAAUGAUUCAAAAUGGCAAAACAAGUAUUCCUGGAAUCUGGUGUUCACAAAUUCAAUCUGCAGCACUCAGAACUCUCUACUAACUGUCCUGUUCUCUCCCUUCAACUUUGUCAUCCACAGUUCCCCUACAUGAAGGCUGGGCAGUCUUACUGUAUUCACCAAUGUUAGGUUUCAUCCGCAAGCCUCUUCUUAUACUAUUUUAUCUCUUGGAUUAUCCUGUUCUCCCUUUCUGCAUUUCUUGCCUAUGUUCUUUCCAACAAGAAAGACCUAGUUCAUAAACUAUUACCAUUAAACAGUCCAUAUUGAUCUCUUCUGCCCUGAACUUCAUUACCAACAUUUGACUGCUUCAUUUAAUUUAGCAAUCAAUCCACUUUUUCUUGCCUUAGUACAUAGAUCUUUAAAGCAUCUUUGGCUUCUCUACUCUCCAAAAGUCAUGAGUCCUGAAUUAUCAAAGAUAUAACACUUUAUAUUUAUUCACAUCACCUUAAUGAGCCCAAUGGGAUGUAUAUAACAGGUGCUGACAAAUACCUAUUUUAAGGCUGCAUGUCUCUGAGCAUGUUCAAGACCUAGGAAAUUUUUCAGGUUUGUUUUGAUUGAUGGAGUCAGUCAUUCAUCAACAAAAAAUAAGUUGUGAAAUCUAUUUGCAUGAAUAAAUGAACAUUACUUGAAAUAAUGGACAACAUACAUGAAAACAAGAUUUGAGUGACAAACAUAAAAAUAGAAUUAUACUGAGUCAGUACAUAUUCACAGACAUCUUUUGAGUAAUGUAUUGCAAGAACACUGGAUUGAAAGAACACAUAGGUUUCAGUCCUGGAUACUUCCCAGGUCUUGGGCGGGGGGGAGGAAUUGUGUUAUCUCACUGAUCUUGAGUCUGUACAUUUCUAAAAGAAUGUUGAACUUA